rnacentral:rRNA from 1 species
CGAAGGGUGCAAGCGUUAAUCGGAAUUACUGGGCGUAAAGCGCGCGUAGGUGGCUUGAUAAGUUGGAUGUGAAAUCCCCGGGCUCAACCUGGGAACUGCAUCCAAAACUGUCUGGCUAGAGUGCGGUAGAGGGUAGUGGAAUUUUCCAGUGUAGCGGUGAAAUGCGUAGAUAUUGGAGGACACCAGUGGCGAAGGCGACUACCUGGACUGACACUGACACUGAGGUGCGAAAGCGUGGGGAGGCAAACAGGAUU